GUAUGGCAGCCUCUUAUUUUGACACCACAUAGACACUGGUGCAAACUUCUUCCAUUGUUUGUAAUUUCUGAUUUCUUGUAAUUACAAACUAGAUAAUAAUCUAGGUUAAAAGCUCUUUUUUUUUAAUUUUCUCUUUCUUUUUUUCUUUCCAAUAUCAUCCUUUAUCAAAUUUCCACUUAAACCAGAAUGAAUGUCUCUCAUGUAGUUGCAUGCUGACUGACUUGUACUGGAUGAUCCAUUAAAACUGGAGGGGAGGAGAGAGACAUUGUUUCAGAAAAUGUAAAUACUAGUUUAUCAUGGGAAGAAAGCAUAAUCAUGGAAUAAAAGGGUUCUCAGUUCAUAAUUUUGGAGUCAUCCCUUCCGCUUUGUAUUACCUUCAGCAAACCAUUCCACUUCUUCACCUCUGCGUCAUCAACAUGAAAUAAAGAUGACAAUGUUUUUUCACUUUGUUCAAAAGCACGCUGGAAAGGAUUAAUUACUUAACCUCUGUACUAUGUUUUGAACAUGAAAUGUGUAUUAUAAAGGUUAAGUAGUAUUAUUAUGGUAAUCAGUAAUAAAAAGACCUGUAUUUUUUA